AUUGAACGCUGGCGGCAGGCUUAACACAUGCAAGUCGAGCGGGGUGAUGGUGCUUGCACUAUCACUUAGCGGCGGACGGGUGAGUAAUGCUUAGGAAUCUGCCUAUUAGUGGGGGACAACAUCUCGAAAGGGAUGCUAAUACCGCAUACGUCCUACGGGAGAAAGCAGGGGAUCUUCGGACCUUGCGCUAAUAGAUGAGCCUAAGUCGGAUUAGCUAGUUGGUGGUGUAAAGGCCUACCAAGGCGACGAUCUGUAGCGGGUCUGAGAGGAUGAUCCGCCACACUGGGACUGAGACACGGCCCAGACUCCUACGGGAGGCAGCAGUGGGGAAUAUUGGACAAUGGGCGGAAGCCUGAUCCAGCCAUGCCGCGUGUGUGAAGAAGGCCUUUUGGUUGUAAAGCACUUUAAGCGAGGAGGAGGCUCUUAAGGUUAAUACCCUUGAUGAGUGGACGUUACUCGCAGAAUAAGCACCGGCUAACUCUGUGCCAGCCGCCGCCGUAA
rnacentral:rRNA from 1 species